UAUCUCAUUUGAUUUUCCUAAUAACCUUCAAAAAUAGCUAUUAUCAUUUCCAUUUUCAGAUGAGGAAAUCAAGGUUCAAAGAAUACUUUCUGUAGCCCUCAGCUCGCCUGUCUCCAAAGCCUGGUCCUUACUGCAUCUGAUGUGUGCAAUGCCCACCAUGUAACAGGCACCGAUGGUGGCAUCGUCAGAAGUGUGUCAUCUUCUGUGGGAUACACUUGGCCUCAGGCUGGCAGAGCAGGGUGGGGUUAAUGGUGGAAAGAACCAGUUACAGUGUGGUUUCAUGUUUUCAGACAAAUAUUUUGGAAGAGGCAGGGCCCACAGAUACGUGCAAUUUUCUGUAAUUGUGAUUGGUACAGUUCCGGGUGGUAAUUAGGGAACAGAUUCAGGCACCAGCAAGUAGUUUUGCUCCUGUGUCCUGAGAAGGACUGUGGGGGCAGUUCUGAAUUCAUGGACAGGAGGAAACUUUGUAAUAUAUUAAUUCAUUCACUCAUUCCAAUUACUCCUGGGUAAUUCUUUUUCUAUCUGUGGCUCCGUCUGGGUCUGAAGCAAGCUUCUUGGAUCCAUGGCUAGAGAGCUUUUCUAGUUUGGUUUCUGGAGACAAGUCACCCUUGGUAAUUCCUGGCUUCAUGCCAGUGGCUCCUUCUAGCUCCCAGCCUCUCCUGGCCCAGCAGCCUGGGCUCCUUGUCCAGUCCAGACCCCCAAUCCCUGCCCAGAUGUCCCGACCUAUUUUUGACUCUGUAAGGCUUUAGAUUGUUUUUAAUACUUUAGCUACGGUUCACUGCUUUAUGUCACCCCCUUUUCUCUGGUUUCUCUCUGUUUGGUUUUGAGAUCGGCUCUGUAACAAAAUUCUGUUUUUGGAUUUCCAUCCAUUUGGGGUAGGAUGGCCUUUCUCAUCAUGUCAGUCUUCCACAUCGACUAGACUGUCUAUUUAUUUUUACCUUUUCCUUUGGGGCCUAAUUGUGAUGGGCUGGAUGUCUGUGUGCCACUCCCCACCAACAGUUCACAUGCUGAAGCCCUACUCCCCAGUGUGAUGGUAUUAGGAGGCGGGGCCUUGGGGAGGUGAUUAGGUCAUGCGGAAAGAGCCUUCAUGAAUGGGAUUAGUGUUCUUAUGAGAAGAAAUAAAAGAACUCUCUCUCUCUCCCCCACCUCCCUCUUCCCGCACCCGGUGAAGAUACAACGAGAAGAAAGCCUUCCAUAAGCCAAGAAGAGAGCUCUCACCAAGAGCUUGACUAUCUGGCCCUCUGACCUUGGACUUCAGCCCCUGGAACUGCACUCUACCGGGGCAGCCCCAACCACACCCUCUAAGGAGCUGCAGGUCUGCUCUUGUCUCCUGUCUUCCCUGGGUUUCUGGAGACCUCAGGGUGAAUGUGAUGUUGGCCUUCCUCCGUGGACGCUCCCCAGCUGUGGGUACAAAGUCCUUUGUCUCAAGCCGACUGUUGGAAUUCAGGGAUCUUCACCCAUCUUUGCCGGGGAUUAUCCUACUGUAUCGGUUUUUCAGGACUGCCAAAAACAAAGAACCACAGACUGGGUUGCUCAAACAGCAGAAAUGUAUUUUGUCACAAUUCUGGAGUCUGGACGUCCAAGAGCAAGCCUCGCUGUCCUCAAAGAGACAGGGAAGCCAUCAACAGCAAUAAUACAAAUAUUUCAUGACGGACUUCAACCAGUCAAAAUGGACUAUGGCUGCUGUGCCUUAUGGGUGUAUCCUGGUGGACACCUGCCCUGCCCUCAGCUCUAACCGCUCAGACUCUGAGAAGCCCUUUUGAGGUUGAAACAGAGGAAGCGUUGCUCAAGUAAAGCUAAUUGUGUUGUCUUUGUCUCUUUUGAUAAGUGGCUUUGUGUCACAUUAGAUCUCUCUGAAAUUAUAUUCUAUGCAUAAAACCACUUCUUUUUAAAAUUUCUCUUUAUAAAUUACUUCAAUCUGUCUUUGAACACAGAAGAAAAUAUAGGAGAAAGGAUAUAGGGAAGGGAUGGCUCAAUGUGUCUACAUUUUGGGGUGACUGACAAAGCUUGCUCCUUCUCCAAGUUCUCUGGGUGGCCUGAAUGAAGAGAAGGG